CUCAGGACGAACGCUGGCGGCGUGCCUAAUACAUGCAAGUCGAGCGCGGGAAGCAGACUGAAGCCUUCGGGUGGACAUCUGUGGAACGAGCGGCGGAUGGGUGAGUAACACGUGGGCAACCUGCCUGUAAGCUCGGGAUAACUAGCGGAAACGCUAGCUAAUACCGAAUAACGCUGCGCACCGCAUGGCGCGCAGAUGAAAGGCGGCGCAAGCUGCCACUUACAGAUGGGCCCGCGGCGCAUUAGCUAGUUGGUGGGGUAACGGCCUACCAAGGCGACGAUGCGUAGCCGACCUGAGAGGGUGAUCGGCCACACUGGGACUGAGACACGGCCCAGACUCCUACGGGAGGCAGCAGUAGGGAAUAUUCCGCAAUGGGCGAAAGCCUGACGGAGCGACGCCGCGUGAGCGAUGAAGGUCUUCGGAUCGUAAAGCUCUGUUGUUAGGGAAGAACAAGUACCGGAGUAACUUGCCGGUACCUUGACGGUACCUAACCAGAAAGCCCCGGCUAACUACGUGCCAGCAGCCCGCGGUAAUACGUAGGGGGCGAGCGUUGUCCGGAAUUAUUGGGCGUAAAGGGCGCGUAGGCGGUCUCUUAAGUCUGAUGUGAAAGCCCCCGGCUUAACCGGGGGAGGGUCAUUGGAGACUGGGAGACUUGAGUGCAGGAGAGGGAAGCGGAAUUCCAUGUGUAGCGGUGAAAUGCGUAGAGAUAUGGAGGAACACCAGUGGGCGAAGGCGGCUUCCUGGCCUGUAACUGACGCUGAGGCGCGAAAGCGUGGGGGGCAAACAGGAUUAAAUCCCCUGGUAGUCCCGCCGUAAACGAUGAGUGCUAGGUGUUGAGGGAGGUUUCCCUUCCUUAAGGCUGCGGUACCUUAA
rnacentral:rRNA from 1 species